rnacentral:lncRNA from 1 species
AGUGUAGGAUUUAAUUAGGAUUUUGUUUAGGAUUUAGGAUUUGUUUAGGAUUUGAUUAGGAUUUAAGAUUUAAGAUUUUAUUAGAAUUUAUUUAAGAUUUACUUAUAAUUUCUAUUUAUAAUAUUUAUUUAGAAUUUUUACUUUAACAUUCCUUUGUAUGUUUGUUUUUUUUAUUUUUUGGAUUUUUAUGAAAUUCUUUAUGAUUAUUUUAUGUUUC